rnacentral:tRNA from 1 species
AAAGGUACAGCAUCAGGUGAUGCCAUUCACUUACACUGAACUAAGGGACGUUCAAUUCGUCCUACCUUUA